rnacentral:rRNA from 1 species
UACGUAGGGUGCGAGCGUUGUCCGGAAUUAUUGGGCGUAAAGAGCUUGUAGGCGGUUUGUCGCGUCUGCUGUGAAAAUCCGGGGCUCAACCCCGGACUUGCAGUGGGUACGGGCAGACUGGAGUGCGGUAGGGGAGAAUGGAAUUCCUGGUGUAGCGGUGGAAUGCGCAGAUAUCAGGAGGAACACCGAUGGCGAAGGCAGUUCUCUGGGCCGUAACUGACGCUGAGGAGCGAAAGCGUGGGGAGCGAACAGG